UCUCAGUGGCUCUCGUCCAAUCCGGUGG
rnacentral:sRNA from 1 species